rnacentral:tRNA from 19 species
GCGGGUGUGGCGGAAUUGGCAGACGCACCAGACUUAGGAUCUGGCGCCUUUGGCGUGGGGGUUCAAGUCCCUCCACCCGCACCA